rnacentral:lncRNA from 1 species
GACAUAUCAAAAGUUUACCAAAUAGGGAGAGUUUCUCAUCACCCAAGUUUCAAUUGGACAGAAACUUGGAAUCAUGCAAUGUGUAUUGUAUGAUGAAUGAAAAACUUUCACAUUUGGGAAAUUUAGACUAAUUCUUUGACAAAGUGUCAAUUGAAGGACUAGGAGAUCGAGUACACUAGGUCGUACGUUGAUCAAGUCUACCACAAGAGUGACAAAGAUAUUCGUCAUGAUUUACUAAAGUUUAGUAAAUAUGGUUAUACUUAUAAGAUUGAGUAUAAUUCUGAGUUAACUGAAAUAGUUUCAAUCAAUAGCAGAACGAAUAAGAAGAAUCAAGAAGGCAGAAAGAUAAAAGUUUCUCCAUUCUAAGAAGAAGGGAGAGUACCUUUUAUUGUGUUUUAUGAUGAAGUCUUAAUGAUUAAGAACCAUAUCUCAAUUGAUCCUCUAAGUGAGUCUUAGUGCAUUUGCAUGUCUAAGAAGAGGAAUCGAGAAUUGUAGAAAUGGUUAAAUCAAAGAGUCAAUCAUACUUCGUUCCAAUAUCAAGUCUUAGAGUCAUACUCCAAGAUUGUGACAUUGAGUGACAAGUCUUAAGUAGGUUUAUAACACUCAUCAAAUGUGGAAUUUGGAAAAGUUUUCUUAUUCUUGCACAUUAGAAAUUGGUAAGUUGUGAUGUCUUGGAUAAGACAAAGACCAACUAGGACCAAUUUGUGAAGUGUUUUGUCUUGAUAAGAACUACACUAACUCUUGAAUAUUUGGUUUGUCAAGAAAUGUUUCUUGACAAGAGAAUCUUAUAUGUCAAGGAGUCAGUGGGAGUCUUAAUGGUCUUGAAAGGUUUCAAGAACAAAUCAAGAAUAAACCUUAUCGAUCAUCACUAGCACACGACUUGAGGUUUACAACCUAUCGUGCUGACAUUAUUUUGUUUCUGUGCCAUUCCAAUUGAGUUAAUUGUGUAUGUGAGUUCUAUGAGUUCUCAUUUGAAUGCAUACUAGAGCCUUAGUCGAUGGAAAGUACAUUGAUAUGUAUGGACAAGUUAGUAAACUACUUUGAAGACAUGGUGGGCACUCGUGUUACCACAGGGCAAGAAAUCAAGAUUAAGAAAGUUCAGUCCAUAUGAGUUUGNNNNNNNNNNNNNNNNNNNNNNNNNNNNNNNNNNNNNNNNNNNNNNNNNNNNNNNNNNNNNNNNNNNNNNNNNNNNNNNNNNNNNNNNNNNNNNNNNNNNUUGAAAAGUUCAAGCUCACUCAAGCCCUUUUGGCAAGUAAACACGCAGAUGGGAGACCUGUGUGUGCACAUGUCUUAGAGAUGAUGUCGCACAUUGAUAGGUUAAGCAUGUUGGGUGUCGAGAUUUCAAGCAAGUUGGCCACUGACUGGGUUCUUCAGUCACUUCCUGAAUCAUAUAGUGAGUUCGUUAUAGAGUACUAUAUGAUGGAUCACGACGUGACCCUCAUUAAUCUCACCUAUUCACUUAUAGCUGCUGAAUCAGCAAUGAUUUGGCGUGCUGGUCAAACAAAUUUGUCUGGUGAAUCAAACUCCCAAACUUCGAUGGACACUGGCAACAUUGGAAGUCCAGAAAGAACUAAGUCUGUGAUUGUCCGAUGUGCUGUGCCAAAGGAGUCCAUUUGCUUUUAUUGCCAGGAGAAGGGGCAUUGGAGACGAAGCUGUCCUAACUACCUGAGAGAUCUAAGAGAUGGGAGAGUCAAGACGUAUGGCUCUAUUUCAGGUAAAAUCCAUUAUCUAAAUCUUUUGAGUUCCUAUUCUAGAUUCUUAAUACAUGAUGUGAUAAGAUUACAUUUUGAUGUUUUGAAGGAUCGAAGAAAAGAGAGGAAGCUUAAUGGAAAAGUGAGCUGAAUCUGAUCGUGAAGAAAUGGAUUUCUAUUGCAUUACUUGAAGAUUGGAUUCUUGAGCUACUACUUUGAGUUAGAAUAGCUUGUUAAGAAAUAUGUAAUAACAUAGUUUUUCGGUUGAAUUGCAUUGUAAGGACAAUUUUUUUCUGCAAUAAAAUGAAUUUUUAUUUUACCUUAUUUAUUUAUCCUUGCAAUGGCAUGUACGAAAAAUUGAUGUUUGUGUACUUCUAUUAUUAGCAAAAUGGAUUUGAUUCUUAAUUAUGUUAUUUGUGGAAAUGUCGAAAGUUUACCAAAUUGGGAGAGUUUCUCAUCGCCCAAGUUUCAAUUGGACAGAAACUUGGAAUCAUGCAAUAUGUAUUGUAUGAUGAAUGAAAAAUUUCACAUUUGGGAAACUUAGACUAAUUCUUUGGCAAAGUGUCUAUUGAAGGACAAGGAGAUCAAGUACACAAGGUUGUGCGUUGAUCAAGUCCACCACAAGAGUGACAAAGAUAUUCGUCAUGAUUUACUGAAGUUUAGUAAAUAUGAUUAUAUUUAUAAGAUUAAGUGUAAUUCUGAGUUGAUUGAAAAAGUUUCAAUGAAUAGUAGAACGAAUAAAGAAGAAUCAAGUAGGCAGAAAGAUAAAAGUUUCUCUAUUCUAAGAAGAAGGGAGAGUACCUUUUAUUGUAUUUUAUGAUAAGUCUUAAUGAUUAAGAACCAUGUCUCAAUUGAUCCUCUAAGUGAGUCUUAGUGCAAUUGCAUGUCUAAGAAGAGGAAUCGAGAAUUGUAGAAAUGGUUAAAUCAAGAAGUCAAUCAUACUUCGUUCCAAUAUCAAGUCUUAGAGUCAAGAUUGUGACAUUGAGUGAAAAGUCUUAAGUAGGUUUAUAACACUCAUCAAAUGUGGAAUUUAGAAAAAAGUUUCCUUAUUCUUGCACAUUUGAAAUUGGUAAGUUGUGCUGUCUUGGAUAAGACAAAGACCAACUAGGACCAAUUAUGUGAAGUGUUUUGUCUUGAUAAGAACUACACUAACUCUUGAAUAUUUGCUUUGUCAAGAAAUGUUUCUUGACAAGAGAAUCUUAUAUGUCAAGGAGUCAGUGGGAGUCUUAAUGGUCUUGAAAGGUUUCAAGAACAAAUCAAGAAUAAACCUUAUCGAUCAUCACUAGCACACGACUUGAGGUUUACAACCUAUCGUGCUGACAUUAUUUUGUUUCUGUGCCAUUCCAAUUGAGUUAAUU